UACGGGGGGGGCAAGCGUUGUUCGGAAUUACUGGGCGUAAAGGGCUCGUAGGUGGCCAACUAAGUCAGACGUGAAAUCCCUCAGCUUAACUGGGGAACUGCGUCCGAUACUGGAUGGCUUGAGUUUGGGAGAGGGAUGCGGAAUUCCAGGUGUAGCGGUGAAAUGCGUAGAUAUCUGGAGGAACACCGGUGGCGAAGGCGGCAUCCUGGACCAACACUGACACUGAGGAGCGAAAGCCAGGGGAGCAAACGGGG
rnacentral:rRNA from 1 species